ACUUCGCUCCUCCUCCUCCUCGGCGUCCUCGCUCGCUCCUCUGGUACUGCCGCCACGCCGCUGCAUCCUCGCCGAAGCCGCCUUCUUCUCCGUCCGCCGCCGGAGCCGAGGUCCCCUUCCGCCGCUGCCGGAUCCUACCAUCCGUCGCGGCCGGCGCUCCUCCUCCUCGCUCGCUCGCUCGCUCCGGAUUACUGCCGCCGCGCCGCCGCAUCCUCGCCGGAGCCGAGGUCCCCUUCUGCCGCCGCCGGAUCCUACCAUCUGCCGCGGCCAGCGCCGAGGGAGGCCCCAUCCGCCGCCGCCGCCACCAUCAUCGCCGCCUCAUUCCCACUUCGCGUUGUGCCUCCCUCCGCUGCUACCGCAUCGGCUCCUGUCGCUGCUUCCGCCGCUCCCGUCUUCGCCGACGCAGUCAGUGCCUCCCUCUACCGCCGCCUGGGCCCCCGCCUCCGUGCCGUCCGGGAGCAGGAGUUUCGGCGGGGUCGUGCGGUCGCCGUCGCGCCGCCACAGAUCGAGACUCGCUGUCGCCCCGCCGCAAAUGCCUCUGGAUCUCGCCUCCGCUCCCACCACAGCCACGUGAUCUUCUCUCCCACCGGCCUUCCACUAGCUGCCUGCACCUCCUCGGUCGGUUGCAAUUACGGAGCCCUCACCAAGAACAGCAACAACAGCAGGCAAAGCCCAACAGAUUUGGGUUUGGCGCUGCAAGCUGGAAGAAGUAGGCGCAUCAACAGCAUAAUCCUUUCAGUUUUGGGAUACAAGAUGCGAGUGCUCAGUCACGAAAUGCUCUUGGCCAAUCAAAGAGAAUGGCAGAUUUCCUUCUCACAGGCAUAA
rnacentral:lncRNA from 1 species